rnacentral:rRNA from 1 species
UACGGGGGGGGCAAGCGUUGUUCGGAAUUACUGGGCGUAAAGGGCUCGUAGGCGGCCAACUAAGUCAGACGUGAAAUCUCCGAGCUUAACUCGGAAAGGUCAACUGAUACUGCUCGGCUAGAGUGCGGAAGGGGCAACUGGAAUUCUUGGUGUAGCGGUGAAAUGCGUAGAUAUCAAGAGGAACACCUGCGGCGAAGGCGGGUUGCUGGGCCGACACUGACGCUGAGACGCGAAAGCGUGGGGAGCAAACAGG